rnacentral:tRNA from 1 species
UACCUGGUAGUGUAAUUGGCAACACCACAGAUUUUGGUUCUGUUAUUCAAGGUUCGAGUCCUUGCCGGGUAG